GGGUAUUUUAAACACAAACAGAAAAAUCCGCAAGCGCACGGAUACUGAUGUAGCUUUCACUCGGGAGUAUUCCAGAGUAUCGAUUUUCCACAUAGAACGUGAGUGUACUAAUUAAGAUUCAAGAUCGCCCAAGGAUAACUAUAUAAUUAUUUUUGGUGGGAAGAGAGGAAGUUUCCUAAGAGUUAUCUAGUUGAUCUAAGAAUUAAGAAUUACUUCAAAGAUUAUUUAUUUCGGGACAUUAGAACACUAACCACAGAAAGAGAUGAGAAGGGGG
rnacentral:lncRNA from 1 species